CUGAAGGUACCAACAUGAUGCCAUUGAACAUGGGACGUGAUGUGCAUAAUCAGCUCUUGGGAACCUUCAGGUGUGGGCUACAGCACCUCACUGGACCGCUGGGUUCCUAGUAGAGUGGAGGAAGUGUUCACUUAGCCACAACUUUGCUUCACCCUGGAGGCCAACUGAGGCAUGUUAGUAUACCCUCUCCCUGUAGUUCUGGAGUGAGGACAUUGGAAAGCUAAACAGUGGUGCUUGAUUCAAGGUGCUUGAUCUAAUUUCUGUGGCCUUUGUCUGAAGAGGGAGGAAUAAGAACGUGUCAACCUGGAAUUCCCAGACUGGCUGAUUGGGUCACAUUUGGAAAGCUGCUGUGUGCACAUCUGAUUAUCCUGCACCUAGGACUAUGAUUCAUUUCUUCUUUCUCAGAACGUGUAUCAGUUUGUUAUAUUGAUUAGCCUGAUUGUCUGAAUAGUGUCUUUCUGUGUCAAAUCUAUGAAAGUUUGAACCCUAUAUGCUUUUGCUGAAUACUGUAUUUCCAAUACCUAGUAAUUAUACCUAGACUGACACAUAGUGGGAAUUUUUUUCUUCAAGUUUAAGUGAAAAUUUAUUUAUUUUUUUAAAUCUCCAAAAGCUUCCCAUUGUUUAUUAUUAUUUUUAUUUUAUUUAUUUAUUUUUUAAUUUUUAAAUUUUUUUAUUAUUAUACUUUAAGUUCUAGGGUACAUGUGCACAACGUGCACGUUUGUUACAUAUGUGUACACGUGCCAUGUUGGUGUGCUGCACCCAUUAACUCGUCAUUUAC
rnacentral:lncRNA from 1 species